UACGGGGGGGGCAAGCGGUUGUUCGGAAUUACUGGGCGUAAAGGGCUCGUAGGCGGCCAACUAAGUCGGAUGUGAAAUCCCCAGGCUCAACUUGGGAACUGCAUCCGAUACUGGAUGGCUUGAAUUCGGGAGAGGGAUGCAGAAUUCCAGGUGUAGCGGUGAAAUGCGUAGAUAUCUGGAGGAAUACCGGUGGCGAAGGCGGCAUCCUGGACCGACAUUGACGCUGAGGAGCGAAAGCUAGGGGAGCAAACGGGG
rnacentral:rRNA from 1 species